ACCCUUCGGUGAGCCAUUAUGAAAUCCGAUUACUGCAGCCAUCCUGUUUACUGCCCAAAUUAGCUAUGAGCCAUUGGAAGCGAUCCCUGUGCGUAUAGUUUUGUGUUGGACAGCUCCCAAGGUUGAUUUCCUUCUUUAUGAGUGGGCGUUCUUCUCCAAAAGGUGGGAGAAAGUUGUUUACACUUCGCAAAGUUGCAUCCUCCCUCAGCUGAGGAGGCUGAGGCUUAGGGAGAAGUCCCUUGCCCAUCGUCACAUCGCUAAUGUCAGGAUCUGAACUGGCUUUUGACUCCAACACCAGUGUUUCCUCCACUCUGCUUUGCCUAGUGUUGACGUCCAGGUUGAUGAAGAGACUGGGACACAGAGAACUCAUGACUUGUCCAGUAGAUGUCAGAGGCAGGAUUUGAAUCCAGAGCUUCCUGAUCCUAGGUCUUGUAUUCUGUCCACUACUCCAUACUUUUUCAUUCCUGUGCUACGUCACUUAGGCUAAUGCUUCUAUUGCCUCAUUGUUUCAUGUCCCAAUCCUGUAUGUCUUCAACUUUCAAUAUCUUUGGAACUCAGGGACCCCAAAGGCCAAUCUUUGGGCACUCUUGGUGUCCUGCCAUCCCGUCCCAACCAACUCUUUCUAUCAUUCUAAGGGCAGGUACAUGGAGUAAUUGAAUCCACAUAUACUGAGCCUUUGUAAUGAGCCCAGAAAAAUACUGAGCCAAGGAACAUCCCAAAGACAUCGUCUAUAUCCUUUCCCAACAGUGAUGGAAAGACCCCAGGAAAGGGAUGGAUGGCUAGGAUAGGAAGUGAACAGGUCAUAUAGUGAAAGCAAAAGUUGAGAAAAGAGCUGAGCACUCCACUGACCUCCCUGACAGAGUAAAAAUAAGCAAUUCGAAUACUGUUAUGUACUGAGUAGACCCAGUCUCAAGGAAUGAUAUAGGAAGACAUGGAAAGAAUGGAGAGACAUGUGAUGGACCAGUUGUGAGCUGUAUUGAUGGAGAGACUAUGCACGUCAAUGAAAUUUCAGCUCUCUGAUGCAUCAAAGAUUAAGCCUUAUAGCAUCCCCACUCAGUUUUUAAAUAAAAAUCUUGGGAGAUAGAAGUUAUAGAAUUAUUAUUCCCAUUUUGUAAAUGAAGAAACUGAGACUUGGAGACAUUAAGCAAGUUCUCCAAGGAACAACAACUAUAAUUUCUUAUAGGUUUUGGAACUAGAUUUGUCACCUAGGACAACACCCGUCAUUUCAUAGAUGAAGAAACUGAUUCAAAGAAGGGACAUGGCUUUUUCAUGAUAGAACAAAUUAGUCUUAAGCAAAUAGUCAAAUAACUCUAGCAAAUGUUACAGGAUUGAAAGUUGUAAGGGUCCUUAGAGGUCAC